GAUUAACGCUGGCGGCGUGCCUAACACAUGCAAGUCGAGCGGCAGCGAGUUUUACACUGAAUUCUGGAAGCUUCUGGUUUGAAGAGAAGAUUUAUUCAAGAAUUUUGUGUAAAAUGUCGGCGAGCGGCGGACGGCUGAGUAACGCGUGGGAACGUACCCCAAAGUGAGGGAUAACGCAUCGAAAGGUGUGCUAAUACCGCAUAUGGUCUUCGGAUUAAAGCCUUCGGGCGCUUUGGGAACGGCCUGCGUAAGAUUAGAUAGUUGGUGGGGUAAUGGCCUACCAAGUCGACGAUCUUUAACUGGUUUGAGAGGAUGAUCAGUCAGACUGGAACUGAGACACGGUCCAGACUCCUACGGGAGGCAGCAGUGAGGAAUCUUCCACAAUGGGCGAAAGCCUGAUGGAGCAACGCCGCGUGCAGGAUGAAGGCCUUCGGGUUGUAAACUGCUUUUAUAAGUGAGGAUUAUGACAGUAACUUAUGAAUAAGGAUCGGCUAACUACGUGCCAGCAGCCGCGGUCAUACGUAGGAUCCGAGCGUUAUCCGGAGUGACUGGGCGUAAAGAGUUGCGUAGGUGGUUCGAUAAGCGAAUAGUGAAAUCUGGUGGCUCAACCAUUCAGACUAUUAUUCGAACUGUUGAACUCGAGAGCAGAAGAGGUAGCUGGAAUUUCUAGUGUAGGAGUGAAAUCCGUAGAUAUUAGAAGGAACACCGAUGGCGUAGGCAGGCUACUGGGCUGUUUCUGACACUGAGGCACGAAAGCGUGGGGAGCGAACCGGAUUAGAUACCCGGGUAGUCCACGCCGUAAACGAUGGAUACUAGCUGUUUGGGGUAUCGACCCCCUGAGUAGCGAAGCUAACGCGUUAAGUAUCCCGCCUGUGGAGUACGAUCGCAAGAUUAAAACAUAAAGGAAUUGACGGGGACCCGCACAAGCGGUGGAUCAUGUUCUUUAAUUCGAUGAUAACCGAUAAACCUUACCAGGUCUUGACAUCCUUGGAAUCUUUCAGAAAUGAGAGAGUGCUUUUUAAGAGCCAAGUGACAGGUGAUGCAUGGCCGUCGUCAGCUCGUGUCGUGAGAUGUUUGGUUAAGUCCAUCAACGAGCGCAACCCUUGUCAGUAGUUGUAUUUUUCUACUGAGACUGCCCCGGCAACGGGGAGGAAGGAGGGGAUGACGUCAGGUCAGUAUUUCCCUUACGUCCUGGGCUAGAAACGUGAUACAAUGGCUAGUACAAUGCGCAGCGAAGCCGCGAGGUGAAGCAAAUCGCAUCAAAGCUAGUCCCAGUUCGGAUUGUAGGCUGAAACUCGCCUGCAUGAAGUCGGAAUCGCUAGUAAUCGCAGAUCAGCAUGCUGCGGUGAAUACGUUCCCGGGUCU
rnacentral:rRNA from 1 species